AGGAUGAACGUUGGCGGUGUGCCUAAUACAUGCAAGUCGAACGGAGAUUGUAGCAAUACGGUCUUAGUGGCGAACGGGUGAGUAACGCGUUGGUGAUCUGCCUCGAAGUGUGGAAUAACGAUUCGAAAGAAUCGCUAAUACCGCAUAGUCUCUCUUUUUCCAGAAAUUUGAGAGUAAAGGAUUUAUUCGCUUUGAGAGGAGCCUGCGUCCCAUCAGCUAGUUGGUAAGGUAAUGGCCUACCAAGGCGAUNACGGGUAGGGGACCUGAGAGGGUGGCCCCCCACAAUGGGAACUGAAACACGGUCCAUACACCUACGGG
rnacentral:rRNA from 1 species